CUGAAUACCAUACUUGAUCUAUUAAUGUAUGUUUUGCUUGUUUCUGGCAUUAAUGGUGUUCAUAUGUUAGGCGUUGGAAUGUCCGGAGAAUAAGAGAACCGUUGCAUCUCCAUCUUCAGCUUCAGUUUCCUGCAAGCCCAAAACCUCUGUGAAUUGGGAUGAUGUUGAAGAUGAUCGUUGAGACCUGAAACGAUGGCGUUUUGGAAAUUCUGCGAAUUGGGGCUUUUGGUGUUAGUUGGCGACCCAUAGGGUCCAUUAAUUGAGACGUCGUCGUUGUCUUGGAGCAUCGUCUUCUUCCAUCCCUUUCUCUUUUUUCAAAACGGAAGAGAGGAGAGAGGAGUGAGGAUCUGAGCUUUUGAACACAAUCGUCGCCAACGUGCUUGCUUAAUUAAGUGGAAUUUUGAUAAUGGUGCUGGUUGUUCCUGUUCUCCUACUGUCACACCACAUUGAUAUAGAGGUGGCUUUCUCCAUUGCUAUUUAUUCUCCGCCUGCCGUCGUUAAAGUUAACGCCAUACUUACAGUAUCUCGGUGGAAUUGAUAAUAUGGUGUUGGUUCUUCCUGUUCUUUUAGUGUCAUCACCACAUUGAUAUAGCCUGACAUCCUUGUUCGUGGUUUUGCUGGUUGGAAUUCUAGGUUUUCCUUCAAGGUACCCUCUCUUCUUAUUGACACUCUUGUAGUCAUUCCAUCACUGAUCGAAUUGGUGAUGCUUUUAUUUGAUGGAUCUUUUUUCUCUUCUCUUGUCUACAUCUUCAGGUCGUAGUAUUCUUCCUCUUUUACCGAUUUUUUUUUUCUUUUUCUUCUUUCUAUAGAAGUGAAAACACAUCUCUGUCUCUCUUUGUUGCAGAUCAUGAGGAACCAGGAUUACUGUGUUUGAUCUCUAUUAGUUUUGGAUGAUGCUUAUAUCAAUCAAUGAUGGCUUUGAUUGACACGCUUCUUCUCUAUGCUGUGUCUUUAGAGGGUGUGUUUUAAUUUGCAAGCAAAUCAUGCUCUGAUCUAAGGAUUAAUUGCACGGGAUGGUUGAAGCUAUGCGUUGAAAUGUCCGGAGAAUAAGAGAACCGUAGUAUCUCCAUCUUCAGCUUCAGUUUCCUGCAAGCCCAAAACCUCUGUGAAUUGGGAUGAUGUUGCUGGACUUGAUGGAGCUAAACAAGCUUUUCUGGAGAUGGUUUAUACUACC